GUCAAUAUAGCUGCAAUUCGAUAUCUGUUUAACGAUAUAUUUUAGAACACCCUCUAUACAAGGACGUAAAACGGGACGUCUGGCAAACGAGGUUACUUUAUAUGCAAAAGUAUAAAUCGACAAUCAAUAAUAAGCAAAAGAUAGUCGGACAAAUUUCCACUGUAUCCACGAGAAGACGAGGGAACCUACGAUCGAAUUUAUGAUGAUCAAUCAGUGGCAAUCGAUGAUGGACAACCUGAGUGACAUAUAUUAUCUCGUGCGGUUGAUAAUCCGUCAAGUUUCCAUAUACUUACGAGAUGUAAUUCUCUAUAAAGUCUUCUGGAUGGCAACAAACGACAACUUCGAUUCUUCGGAUACGAAACUUCGUAUCACGUUGAGGAAUAUUACGACAGAUGUCGUAGCUUUUUCGGUCAUCUGUGCCGUUCUUUUUCUCCUCGUGGUUCUCGCGUCCAAGUAUGAAAAGGAUGAAAACCGACUUUUUACACCUGUGGGAAUAGAAACAGUCACAGUAGAUCACCCACAGGAUCCAUUCUGCGUUUUAAACACGAAUUCUAAUACGACAAACUAUUCCCACGCUUGCGGCGAUUCCAUAUUACCGCGCAGACGAAUUUCAAAGAGAAAUUUCUCCGAGGAAGACAUAAUCAGGGUUCGUUCCUGUAGCGAAAAAAGAACCACAAGAAUUCCAAAGAAAUCGAUUUUUGGCCUAACCAUGAGUCAACCACAAAAUUGUCAAAGUACCCAAACCACUCGCGAAAUAUUCCAUAAAAACAACCAAAAAUGGUUGAUUAGACGGACAAGAAGCGGCCAUAUUUAUGGAAAAUAUCCUGUAUAGCAAGAAUUACAAUAAUUUUUGAAAUUUUCAUUCAUCUACCUCAAGAGUGCACAGAAAACUUGGACAACGUGAAAAAAAUCAAAUGAAUUUAAUUAUUCAUAAAAAUUUACAUCCAAAUGUUGAAACUAAAUGCACAACUAAUCAUAAAGAUAGUGAACAUCGAUGUUACUGUUAUGUGCCUCGACUGUUUAACAUUCCAGACAAUUAACGAUGGUUUAGGAUUAUCAGAAGAGCGCAGAGAUAUAUCGUUUUACAAAGAUUUUUGAAAUUUUAUUUUUAAGAUGUUAAUAUUGUCUAAGUGUACAAGUUUGUAAAACGUAUUUUAGUCUGAGGAAACUUCAGUAAUUGGUUUUUAUAAGAAUGAAUUGUUAUUUACAUGAAUUUUAUACAUUGCUUCGUAUAAAAUUUUAUUUACAUUCUUGAGAUUUUAUUUCUUUCAUCGUUUAAUUUGUUACUAUUGUAUAACGUAACGUUUGUAUAUGUAGUGUUUAUUAUACGAAUAAAUAUCGUUUGACUUUUCAUGUCUGUUCGAUUGAUUUCGUCAAAAAUGAAAUAUUAAUUUUUUUGGAUGCGUUAUCGAUGAAGAAAUACAGUUGUAUCUGAUAAAAAGCGUCAAAUGUCACUAAGCUUUUUAUAUUACCGGUUAUAAAAACUAUAUACUAAUGUGAUGUCGCAGACUUAAACUGAUUUCGUUUCUAGGAAAUAUUAAUCGCGCAUCCGUUUCGAUAAUCUGUCGAUUAUUUUUAUUUCUGUCUAACAUAUUGUACUGAUAUAGAAGAAUAUAAGCCUCAUUAUAGAUGAUUAAUUAUAUAAACAAACAAAUCUCGCUUACGCGCAAAAUAUGAAUAUUCAUAAGAAUAUGUUUGAUGAGAAUAAUCAAGCCUGCGCUCAUCGAUCCACGACGAAACCAUGGAAACAGCCAAGGCACAGAAAUCAAAACAAUCUUCGUUUGAAACACCGAUUCCUACCAACGAUUUCACAUAAUUGUUUCCUCAGGAAAUCGUUCUGAACUUUUCAAGGAAACGGAUA